CCAUGGUUAUAUCGUUUGUUAUACAUCUUGAUAGCGACAUUGUUUCUUGUCAUCUUUUUCACCAACAGAUAUUAUAGAGAAAUGCCCAAACACGAUCUCUGGAAAAAAAUAUUGUUACUAUCAACACCUUCAUUGAUAAUAAUAAUAAUACUCAGGGAAAGUGGUAUGAUGUACUAUCUAUGGGAAGGGAUUUCUUUUUUGUUUGUCGGAAUUUUUUAUCUUAUUAUCAUUUAGGUGGAAGCAGGAACUAAGUACACAGCAAAAUCUGUAAAAACGAAUUGUCCUCUGAUACAUGGCCUCACACAAAUCCCAACAAUAACAGAAAUCACUUCUUUCGGGAUAAAUUGGUCAGAUAUCGGCCCUACAGUCAUGUUCUUCAUCCUUUCAUACAUUACUAGAUUUACUUCUUUAUGUACUGUCUUUCAUCCUUUCUUAGAUUACUAGCUAGAUUUAUUAAUUAGGUAUGAACAGUUAGCUCUGCUUCGUCCGAAUUGUCUUUUUUUUUGUAGUGGUUAGGUAACAAUUUUAUUUCUUGACAUUGCGCAUGUUGAUAGCGCCGUCAUUUCAUUUUAUCAAUUACAUGCUCUGUUCUUACCAUGUACAAAAAUUUUAAUUUUUCCUGCAACUAAUGUUCAUGUUAAUGUUCUACCCAUUAUUGAUAGUCUUCUAUACAAUAUGGUAGUUACUAGAUAAUCAACUGUAUAUCCUUGAGAGCCAUCUAAAGACGCUCAGUGGAUGACGAGUCGGUGAUGAAUCCGGGUAUGACUACGUCGGGCAGAUUGUGUUGAUUUACAGACGGCGUUGAAGACGAGUAGCUGUAGGUGUCAAAUAUGAUCGACGGAGUAACCGGAUGGCGAACACCUGAUGAUGGAGUCGGAGGAAACGGAAAACUCGAAUUUUGAGAUUGGGGGGUGCCCGAUCGAACACUAGAAGCAGAUGAGCUACUUGAGCUGCUAGAAUCAUGGGUAGACUCUGAUGAAAGUGAAAAUGAUUGAAGGUAAAUUCCAUUAUUGAGACUAGGUGUUGCACUAGAAUCACUUGAGAGGAUAACUAGUGAAAUCUCAGAUGUAGCAUCAUAUAGUAUAACAUUUGAGGUAUCAUCGGAGAGUACAACCCUAUUAGAAACUUCACUUUCAUCAGAGGAUAUGGAUAUUGGUUUAGAAUCCAUGGUUUAACGUUGGUUAUACAUAGAAGAAGGUUAGGGAAGAAGACGAAGUUCAAAUAAACUACUAUUGCAGUUUAGAAAUUGAAGAAAAAAUAGUACAAGCGCCAUAAACAUACUGUGGCAGGGGAACAUGCGUUACAAUCUAAAUUUGGGAAAGAUAAACUUACAUGAUGGCGAUGUUAUCGUAAGCCGUUGCAACUGAAGAAGUACAGUGGUACAGACGAAUAUUUUCAGAAGCAUUCAUAUCUACAUUAAAUAUUGUAGGAAAAAAAAUGGAAAACAUCUUUACCAAUAGAGAGUUGAUUGAUGGGUUGACAGACAAUUGUCACAUUGCCUCGAGAUAAUGUCCGUCGGUGGUUCAAUUUCAGAGAUAAUGGUUCAAUUUCGGAGAUAACAAUUAGAGGAACGUGAGGGGUUUAUCGCAGAUAGCGCAUAUAGGUGAUGGCGCAUGAGAUAUAAAUUUUGUAUAAUAAAACCAAAAAUCGUUGAAGAGCCACGAAAACCCAAUAAUUAAAAACAAGUUUUGGCCUUUUUUUUUCAAUGGCGAUUUAUAUUAAAAGUAAAAUAAAAAGAUUACAAUCUACGAUAAUAAGAAAGUUAGAUAAUUAAUUAAACAACUAAAAGUACGAUAGGAUGUGUGAAAUAAGUAUAACUUGUUAAUCCUCGGCUUGUAGGUCAGGUCAGUAACCAAUAGCGAGACUUAAAUCCUCUCACCUUCUGAUAGUUGUAUCCUCCAAACUUAACCUGUACGCUUUUUUAAAUACGCGAUAAUCAUAGAUGAUAGUCAAAUCUCGUAUGAAAUCCCUUGCAACGAUUUUUACCGGUCGAGAGAGCCCCUCCUUGUGUCGUAGAUUCCUCUCCCUCCAAAGGUGUCAUAUAAACGUUGCAAGUGCAUUCCAAUGUAGCCCCCAGCAUGGUGCUGACUUUCUGAAUUUGGAUAUCCCCUCCAUGAUAUCACCCACCCUUAUAUCUCCUAGCUUUAUUUCUGUGAUACCCAUAAUUUUCCAUAGAGCAUAAUCUGUCAACCUUAUAAAUUCGUUCCAAAAGGACCAGCUGAAUUCGCAAUUGAAGAAUAAGUGGGCAGUCGUUUCCUCAACUUUAUCACAGAGGACACACUUUGCUGGAACCACUCUCUCCCAAGACCUCAAUUUAUCGAAUGUUCUUAGCUUACCCCAUCUCAGUCUCCAUAGACAGAAGGCCAUCUUUGAAGUACGGCAUGUCCAGAGGAUCAGAGACGGCUGGCGGUGAUAAUUUUGCUCUUAUGAAGCUCGUUUUUAUACUACCGCUGACUGUGCAAUCCAGCCCUGCAGGGUAGCAUAAUUUGAUAUCCUCUUUGACUCUCAGGAUGCUUGACCAUAUCGAGGAAUCCUAUUUGAAAACGAAAGAAACCCAUUUCCAGAAAAUAUGUGAAUGAAAUGAAUGAAUGAAUUUCAGAAUCGGUCAAGGACAUCUCUCAAUCAGCAGCAGUGAAAAAUCCAUUUUUCGGUAGUGAAGACAAACAUGCAUGGUUUACAGCUGGUCAGACAAACUGGUAUAUUUUAAUUAAUUAAGUGGUGACCAAACAUUAAAAAACUGGUACAUUAAAACUCCUGAGUUCAUUCGGGCCACCAAACAGAAAUACUAAAUGGCGGUGAACCACCACAACUACCUUUUCCUUUUCUCGAUGUUCAUCUUCACCUUUUGCUUCUAUAGCUGCAUAUGCGAGAAGGUAACUGCAUCUCCAAAGAUGGUGAAGAAAGAAGGUACUGUAUAUAUUAUUGACUAAAUAACCCAUUUGUGAAUUCAUGGAUGGCCUGCUCUCAAGGAAAUAGCCAAAGGAUUGGGGAAGAAGAACUGGAACUUCAGUUACGAUCCAUGCAGUGGGGAGGGAAACUGGAUACUUCAGAAUGCCACCAAGGGAUUCGAAAGCUUUGUCACAUGAAGAGCAUAUGAAGAGACGACUGACGAUUUCUUGCAAGGAGGAAUACCUCAUCCAGAGUCAUCGAUUGUAGGACAUGAAUCGGCUAAGUGUUCUUUUUCUAACACUACUUCAUUCAAAAAUAUAGGAUCGAAUCUGUUUCUAACACUACUUCAUUAACACAACCUACAACCGUUACAACCUACUCUACCACAACCACCUCCUUAAAAGAAUCUAGGAACAUUGCAAAAUCCAGUAGAUAUUUACGUACAUUCCCAUAAUAAUAUAAAACAUUACAUAUUCCUCUAACUAAAUCUACAUUAUAUUAUAUAUAUAUUUCAUAAGUUAUGUAUAUUUUUACAAUUUUUCAUUAACAUAGUGUAUUUUAAUUUUUAGGAUGAUGACAUGUUGGUUUUUAAUCAACAAGAAGAAAAGAUGACUAAGGAGUAAGGAUUGACUCAACAAAAGAAAAUAGACUAUAAACAAUGUUUUUCUAUUGUUUAUUUUUCAAAGAUGAUCAGAUGGACAUGUUUUUUUUUAAUGUUUAUUUUUAGGAUGAGGUAAAAAAAGUCCAGUAGUCGACGAACUAUUCGGUUUCGGGUUAGUAUUCGGUUAUUAAACGAACCGAACCCAAACCCAAGAGUAGACUUGUUUAUUUAAACGAACCGAACCAAAUAAUUAGGUAUUCGUUCGGUAGGCUCGAGGUGCAACGCUGCCGGCGAGUUCCCAGCACCCAUGGCGGACGCCAUACCAAAUACGUCAUCCAUAGGACGACACAUCUCCAAUUAUUUCCCUUUUUAGAUAUAACCAAAGAAAAUUUCAAUCUGCCAACUUGGCUUGGUAAUUAACAUGCUUGUAAAUCACAAUUAAUUCAAAGUCAAUCAAGAUGGCUGUAAAUUAUUAUAAUCAGUUUGUCUGUAGUGAGGUUGGAUACUUGCAUGGGUUAUAUGUAAGAUGACACUAGCAAUUCCGACUACCCAAAUUCAGUUAACAAUUGAUACAAGAGCCAUGGCAACCGAGUUGAGAAUCGACGUUCCGGGUAUAACAGAUUGGGUCAGUUUACUACGGCCAAACCCAGAUGUAAACAUGUGUAGAAUUCCUGCCGAGCUGGUUGAAGCAAAUGACAACGGUGAUCGGGAUUACGCGCCUAAAUACAUUUCCAUCGGACCAUACCACUACGGGAAAGAAGAGCUCCGUUCGAUGCAAAAGGUCAAGUUGCAAUACCUCAAUGAUCUGCUCGCCCGAAACAAUAGCAACACUAUAGAAAGGUACAUGGAGGUAGUCAAAGAAGUUUUAUCUUCUGAAAAAAAUAAGUAUUGUGAUUUCGAUGAUUGUGGAAUCUCCGAUAAUACCCUUUUGAAGAUGUUAGUGCUCGACGGUUGUUUUCUUGUGGAAUUAUUGUUGAAACAUAAUGAUGGGUCGCUCACUUUUCUUGGAAUUGAUAUCCAUAAGCUCAAUCAUGAUUUGAUGCUUAUCGAAAAUCAGGUACCUUUUUCUGUUCUCAAACUCAUAUAUCAAAAUACAGAUUUGGUGGAACAAGACCAAAGGUUCAGUCUCUUCAAUCUGGCAAUUAAUUACCUGCACAAUGGAGAGAAGAGUAUCGACGGUGUAUAUAAAGAAGUCGGUAAUGUGGACCAUCUUCUCCAUUUGCUCUACAUGUGUCGGUUGAAUCGGGUUCAGUUAAAAAAUGCUCAUUUACGAAUGAAGCCAUGGUUGUAUCGUUUGCUAUACAUCUUGAUAGCGACAUUGUUUCUUGUCAUCUUUUUCACCAACAGAUAUCAUAGAGAAGAGCCCAUACAAGAUCUUUGGAAAAAAUUAUUGUUACUAUCAACACCUUCGUUGAUAAUAAUAAUAAUACUCAGGGAAAGUGGUAUGAUGUUCUAUCUAUGGAAAGGGAUUUCUUUUUUGUUUGUCGGAAUUAUCUAUCUUAUUAUCAUUUGGGUGGAAGCAGGAACUAAGUACACAGCAAAAUCUGUAAAAACGAAUUGUCCUCUGAUACAUGGCCUCACACAAACCCCGACAGUUACAGAAAUCACUUAUUCUGGGAUAAAUUGGUCAGGUAUCGGCCAUACAGUCACAUACAAGGUGUUUUUUAAGUCCAAUAAGAUGCAUACCGGAUUGAUGUUGAUAAAUGACAAUAGCUUCUCGGAAUUUGAGAAUUUGUUAUUUUACGAACAAAUAUACUUUUUACCUAGAUUGUCAGAAAAUGAAGAGAAUGAUGCAUUGUAUAUUUCCACCUACGUAGUGUACAUGAGAAACAUAGUGAAGACGGAGUCGGACGUAUUUUUCCUGAGAAAGCACGGGGUUCUGAAAUCAACAUCGAGUUUCAUGGAAGAUAGGGAAAUAACUAGUUUCUUUUGUAAGCAAAGACCGUGGUUGGUGCUUACAAAAUUAAAUCAGAAAAAUAUCCGUUCUCAAUUCAGAUCACUUGAGAAGUUCUGCAGUUCCGGCCACCGCAAACGUAAAGCCAAACUAAGGAAGGAUUACUUCGUAAGCACGCUGGUAAUAUUUGCUUUUUUGGGCUUCAUCAUUGUUACUGCCCUCACUGUUAUUCAAACGGUUUAUGCAGUACGUCAAGCUAAUUAGAUCACCUAAGUCUCACCUCAAGGGAGUAGAGAUGUUAUGUUUUUCUUUAACAAAGUGAAUUUCUUUUAAGAUCAAUUAGAGUCAUCCCUUAAAAAACCAACAGGUAUGUGUGGGAGUUGUACUUGUGAUUUAAAUAGGAAACUUCUUAAAUUAAAACAGGAUAAGGUUAUUGUAUUUCUUUUAGGUUUGAAUGAUGUUUUUACAAAUGUGAGAACACAAAUCCUUGCUCACAAGGAGGUAUCAUCCAUGGAUGAAACUCUAUGCAUGGUCACAACUGAGGAAGACGACAAAAGUGACCUUGUGACUUCAAAAUUCAAAGAUAAACACCCUACCAUUGUCAAAAUUCAAAGUCUGAAAAUGUUGUAAUUGAAAUUGAUAAUAGAAAAAAGUCAAAGGGUUUUUCAGAAGGAUAUGUUUUGAACAAAAAUGGAAAGAGGUUGAAUAAAAAAUGAUAGUGUGACUCUUGAGAGCAACAUGGUCACACCCAAGAUAUGUUCUACUUUAUUAAAUUCUCAUGUUAAAUCAUUUAAUUCUGUUUGCUCAGCAAUUAAGAUGACAAAAGAAAUUCCGGCCACCCAAAAUCAGUUAACAAUAGAUACAUGAGUCAUGGCAACGGAGUUGAGAAUCGAUGUUCUGGGUAUUACCGAUUGGGUCAGUCUACUACGGCCAAGCCAGCAGAUGUAAACAUGUGUAAAAUUUCUGCCGAGCUGGUUAAAGCUAAUGCAAGUUUCAAUGCAAAGAUCUGCUUGUCCGCAACAAGAGCAACACCAUAGAAAUAUACAUGGAGGCAGUCAAAGAGGUGUACCUAUUUCAGAUUUGGAAUUAUGUGAACAUAUGGCAUAAGUGCAUAACACAUGGAAAAAUUUUAAAUCGUGAUAUACGUGAACACAGUUACACAGUAAAUGAACAGAACAAUAAAAUUUUAAACACAUGGACAUUUUAACCGCAAAAACUUUUAAUAAAUACACUGAUACACAUGGCAUUCAUCAGCAUUAUAAAAAAAAUAAAACUCACUGAUAUGGCGAUGUUGAACUCUUCAGAAUUAAGAAGACAACUGCAAUCAGCAGCUCGAAAUCCCCAAUUUAUUUCAAAUCUUGAACAUUUAGCCUAAAUGAUUUAGGGUUUAUUUAUUGGUAGGGUUUUAUAUAUAUUUUAAGCCAAAAUUAUUAUAUAUAUAUAGUAUUAGACUAUUAGUUAUUUAUAUAGAAGAAAGUUUAUAUAAGUCUAGCUUAGGCUUAUAUAAUCUGGAGAAUGAAGAAGACGAGAAGAGGAAGAGAGAAGAAGAAGAAAGUGUAAGAUAGUGUAAGGAGAGAGAGUAUAGAUGGUGGGGAAUUUUUUUGUAAUGAAGAUGAGAUAGACGGCUGGGAUUCAACGGGCGUUUUUGGGCCUAUUUUAAGAGGGCUUUUCUGAAAAUUGCUCUAUUUAUAUAUUUAUAUAGAAGAAAGUUCAUAUAAGCUAGGCUAUAUGAGCCCAAAUGAGCCUUGUGAAUCCCAAUCUCUUAUCUUAUAAAAAUGAAUCAAAUCAUCUCUGAACCGUCCAUUUCUUAUUUUUUAUCUCUAACAUUGCAUCCUUUCUGAACUUUUCACAGUGUAAGCAAACUGCAUACUCUCAGUCACGGACAGUCCUCACGUACACUGUUUUCAAAACUCCUCUCUCAUUUUCGUUUCACCACUCUCACUCUCCACCAUUUCUCUCGCUCGUCUCUUUCUUUUUCCUCUCGCCGGUAUUCAUUUCACACAUUGUCCUCCCAAAGUUCUCAUCCUCCUUCCGUCCGUUUUCAGCGCGUUCCUCCGUUAGUCGUCUUCUUUCAACCUAUCUUCCGUUCUCCACGCGCGUCGUUCCAGGUGAGUUCUUAUUCCACUUCCACUUCGUCGUUCUUCUUUACUUCUUCUCUCACCAUUUUUUCCUGUAUUUCCUUUUCAUUCCUUACUUUUAUGCAUUGUUUAUUUGUUUUUAUUCAUUUUUCACUUCUCCCAGUUUUAGUUUGUGAGAAUGUCGGUAUGGAUGGGGAAGUUACGGCGCUUAUGUCGGUGAAGAGUGAGAUGAGAGACUUAUGGAUGGUUGGGAUAUUAACUCCGUUGAUCCUUGCACUUGGUAUAUGGUUGCUUGUUCCCGUGAUUUGCACUUGGUAUUUUUCUUCUUCUUCUUCUCAAGUUCAUUUUGUGAGUUUGUGUGCAUUUCUAUUAAUUAUAUUAGUUGACAAUUUUUUUUGAUGAAAGAUAUUAGUUGACAGUUAAUACAGUCAAAAUUAAAGAAAACACUGAAUUGAGUGAAUUCUUUCCGUUUUGCGUAGACGUGGUCGAUAAUGAAUAAUGAGAAGACUUUUUUUAGAACUACAUUAGUAAAAUAAAAAAACCGAAAUUAAGAAUAUAUCGAACAAAAAAUAUGGUUCAUGUUGAACAAGUGAAAAACUACAAAACGAACAACAGUAACAAGAGAGAGCGAACAAAGAAAAGAUGAGAUACGUACAUUGAUUGUGUGUAAUGAUUUUCAAUGGAAGAUCGAAUCAGAAUAACAUGAAUGUGUGUAAGGCCGAAGAAUUUGAUAAUAUGUAAAAUGUUUGAUAAUUUGUAAGUGUCUACUUAGUUAUUGGGUAAUGGUGAUAAUAAUGAACAAUACUAAACUAAUUUAGAAACGGAGUCAUAAAAAAAAAUGUAGAAAAAUAAAGAACAAGUAAUGUAGGUGUGUCAAACAACAUAUAGACUACAUUACGAAUAAUGGAAAGAAGAGAUAUAGGGUGUCAAAUAAAGCCCGGCUCGUCGGGCUCGGGCUCGUGAGCCCAAUAAGCCAAGUUCGAGCCCAAUCCUCAAGCUCGAUGGGCUCGGUAACGAGUAUAAAAAAACUACAAAAAUAUUAUAUUUAGAGAGAAUAGAGGUGUAACAUAGUUGAUUAAAGGUUUAUUUAGUAUUUGAGAGGUCACGAGUUCAAUCCCUCAUUUCUCCAAAUAAUUAUUUUUUUAAUUCGAACCUGACUCGCGGGCUCGAGCCCGAGCUUGACAAUUCUUACAAUGAGCCGAGCCCGAGCUCGACCAAACCAAGCUCGGCAAGCUCGAGCCCAAGCCUGGAUAAUUCCUUAACGAGCCGAGCCUGCUCUAUAAGCAAAAACUCGGCUUGGCUCGUUUGACACCCUAAAGAGAUAGGAAACAACGGAAAAAAACAAGAUGAAAUAAACUUGAUUCCGGAAGAACCUCUAUAAAAAAAUGGGUACAUGUUAGUACGUGAGCUCGCCGGACCAAGCUCGUCGACCUAACCUAUUACAAGUGUUACUCUGAUUGUCAACCCCCUCCCCUAAUGGACCAAGAGAGGUAUUUAUAGUGUCCCGUGAUUCAUUCUGAGCCUUAUGGGCCACCCGGCCCUCCUGCGCCUUCGAGCCCAUUCGUGCGUCUGGACCUCGAAGGCCGCUCGUUCGGUCCAUGGACCACGGUCCGCAGUCCAUGGUACCAACAGUACAAAAAUCUGAAAAAUGAGGAAGAUGAGAUGAGAAGAAGAGAGGAAGAGAGAAGAAAGCAAAAGAAAAGAAAGUGUAUAAAAGUGUAAGAGAGGAAGAGAGAAAAACAAAAGAAAAGAGAGUGUAAAAGUGUAAGAGAGUGUAAGAGAGUGUAAGGAGAGAGAGUGUAGAUGGAGGAAUUUUUUUUAUAAUGAAGAUGAGAUAGACGGUUGAGAUUCAAUGAGCGUUUUUGGGCCUAUUUUAAUGAGACUUCUCUGAAAAUUGUUAUAUUUAUAUAAACUAUAAUUGUAUAAAGGUAUUUUUACAUAUUAUCUCCGAAUAUAAUAUUUUUUAUUUUUUUAUAUUCCUCUUAUCGAGCCCACCGAACAUAACGAACUUGAGCUUUAGACUUGAGCUCGGCUCAUUGGACUCGCGAGCCGAGUUUUACUUGACACCUUACACCUGGUGGUUAAUCAUAUUUAGAUAAAGUACGAUAAUUGAUAUUUUGGUGGUAUAAAUAUAUGAUGAGUUGACGUAUUGACACCCCCUAUUAGUUUAGGGAUGUCAUAUGACACCGACAACGAUUGUCAAGGUGAACGAUAGCCGAAACUAAAUCUAAGAAGAUAGACAUGAAAUUUUAUGAAAACAUAAAGAUAGAACCAUACCUUUGUGAAAGAUGAAACUUUUCUUUAGAUGAGGAACCUUAGAAAUGAAAAAUAUAGAAGGAAAAAUUGUUUGAAGUGAGAUGAUAAUGAUGGUAAUGUGUGAAGUCUGUUGUAGCCAUCAACAACAGUAGACGUAUGUCAAUCAAGACGUCAAAUAUUUAAUGAGAGGUUGUACGGAUUUUUCUUCUUCUAAAGUAUACCAUAUUGGUGUUUAUAAUUAAAGUGAAACACAAGUAAUGAUGUGGAGGGUACUGUAGCUAAUGUUAGAACUAGUAUUAUACUUUAGGUAGAGAGAUGUACUACAGGUGAUGUCAGUAGUUUUCUAGAUCCACAGCCAAUGUCGUACGUAAGUUAGUUUUAUGUGCAUAACAUAAUUGAAAUCGAUGGAUGACAAGCCUGUGUUGAGGAUUUUUUUUGGCACAUGACGAAGCACAGAUAGAUGACGCAGCUGAAUAAUUUUGUUUGAUAAUGAAAAUUAGGAGAAUUCUUAAAGAGGUUUUUGAAAGGAAAAUUUUUAAGAUCGAUCAUAAAUCAUAAAACAUAAUCAAGUUAUUAAGAUUAUUCAUCUAAACAAUUUAAAUGUUUUUUUCUAUUGAUUUUUUUAUAUUAAAUUUUUUACAAGUUUUUUUGUGUAAAAUUUUAAUUUUAAGAAUAUAUGUUAUAAUUUUUUUUAAUCUCGUUUGUUCUUGAGGAAGAGUAAAAAUUGCACUAAUACCAUAAAAAUUCCAUUAAAUCCUCCUUGAUUAAUCAAAUUCACUCAACGUAAUUUGUCAUAAUUAGAUCUAUGUAUCGACCGAGCCGAAUCCGGAUAAUUAAAGUGAAACACAAGGUUUAUGGAAUAAUAUCUGGAUAAGAAAAUUCGAAUCCGGAAUUAUCAAACGAAUUUGAAUCUGCGAUAUCCGUAUUCGAAAUUAUCAAUUGAAUUCUGAUUUUAACGACGGAUAUUGCAGAUAUCUGAAUCCGUACGGAUAAUUUUCGAAUAUCAUUUUGGGUAUACGAAUCCGUAUCCGAAAUUCGAAAAUCUAAAUUCGAAUAGACAUAGUCAAAUUCGUAAUCGGAUAUAAAUACGGAUUUCGAUAUACCAGGUUUAGUCUUAAUCAUCUCAAACAUGAUUUUGAAUGAUAAGAUAGUUGAAAAAAGAUAUUUGGUGACAACAAUCUUCAUCGUUCAUUUCAAAUCAAAGGUGAGAUGAAAUUUCUUGAGAUCGAAUCGAUGUUCCAGAUUGCAUCAGAAUGGGACGGUACCGAGGCGACCCGCCCCAUUUUCACUCCUACUGCUAACAUAACUUUUGGAUAUAACCAAGACAAUUUCAAUGCUUCGAAAAAAGACAAUUUCACUACGUAAGAGCGAUGAGGCAUAGAUCGUUUUAGGAAACAUCGAGUCAGUUCCCCAAAGGUUGUGAAGACCCAAACGAUCGUAAGAUCCGGGGUUGGAACAAUGCGGAGGGUGUGGGGUGGAUCGCAUGUGAUCACACCCUUUUUUUGUUUCGAAAUCUAUAUUAUCAGUUGGUUUUGUUUCAAAAAAAAAAAGGUUGGAUACUUGGAUGGUAUACAUAUGUAAGGUGACAAUAGCGAUUCCAACCAUCCAAAUUCAGUUAACAAUAGAUACAAGAGCCAUGGCAACAGAGACGAAAAUCGAUGUUCCGGGUAUGACCAAUUGGAUCAGCCUACUACGGCCAAACCCAGAUGUAAACAUGUGUAGAAUUCCUGCCGAGCAGGUUAAAGCAAAUGACAACAUUGAUCAAGAUUACGUGCCCAAAUACAUUUCCAUCGGACCAUACCACUACGGGAAAGAAGAGCUCCGUUCGAUGCAAAAGGUCAAGUACAUAUACCUCGAAGAUCUGCUUGCUUGGAACCAGAACAACACCAAAGAAAGGUACACGGAGGUAGUCAAAGAAGUGUAUUUAUCUUCUGAAAAAAUAAGUAUUGUGAUUUCGGUGCUUGUGGAAUCUCUGAUGAACGCUUUCUGGAUAUAUUGGUGGACGACGGUUGUUUUCUUGUGGAGUUAUUGUUGAAAUAUAAUGAUGCUGACUUUUCCGGGAAUUGAUAUCCAUAAGCUCAAUCAUGAUUUGAUGCUUAUCGAAAAUCAGGUACCUUUUUCUGUUCUCAAACUCAUAUAUCAAAAUACAGAUUUGGAGGAACAAGAUAGGCCCACUUUCUUCGAUAUGGCAAUCAAUUACUUGCACAAUGGAGAGAAGAGUAUCGACAAUAUUGUAUAUGAAGAAAUCGAAAAUGUGGACCAUCUUCUCCAUUUGCUCUACUUGUGUCGGUUGAAUCGGAUUCAAUUAGAAAAUGUUCCUUCAAAGUCAGUCCUAUCUUUUGCAUUACUUCUCAUGGAUAUACAAGGUUGCAGAUAUAUUUUUUCUAGUUUUGAUUUUCUUUGUUCUACUUAUGGUUAUCUAUAUAAAAUAUGCCUGUAAAGAUACAUGGUGUCUGGUUAUAGGAAUAACAUCGGUACUUGGAGCGAUAUUACUGAUAUCGCAAAGUGGUAUAUUGUUCUGUCUAAAGGAACUGAUUUCUAUUUUGUUUGUCGGAAUUAUCUAUUAUUUUAUCAUUUGGGUGGAAGCAGGAACUAAGUACACAACAAAAUCUGUAAAAACGAAUUGUCCUCUGAUACAUGGCCUCACACAAACCUUGACAGUAACAUAAAUCACUUCUUCUGGGAUAAAUUGGUCAGAUAUCGGCCCUACAGUCAUAUACAAGAUGUUUUUUAAGCACGAUAAGAUGCAUGCCGGAUUGAUGGAGAUAAAUGACAAUAGCUUCUCGGAAUUUGAGAAUUUAUUAUUUUACGAACAGAUAUAUAUUUUACCUAGAUUGUCAGAAAAUGAAGAGAAUGAUGCACUACUGUAUAUAACCACCUACGCAGUGUACAUGAGAAACAUGGUGAAGACGGAGUCGGAAAAUUUCCCUGAGAAAGCAUGGGGUUCUGAAAUCAACAUCGAGUUUAAUAGAAGACAGGUAAAUAACCAGUUUCUUUCGUAAGCAAAGACCGUGGUUGGUGCUUAUAAAAUUAAAUCAGAAAUAUAUCCGUUCUCAAUUCAGAUCACUUGAGGAGUUCUGCAGCACCGGCCACCGCAAACGUAAAGCCAAACUAAGAAAUGAGUAUUUCGUAAGCAUGCUGGUAAUAUUUUCUUUUUUGGGCUUCAUCCUUGUUACUGCCCUCAGCUUAUGCAAUACAUGGGGAACAAGAGGAUCAUAAAUCAUAAUAUUAAGGACACACUUCCUAAAAAGACUACACUAAGUACGGUCCAAUUAAUACGGACCUAUGUUCACAAUGUCAAACUAUAAUAUCUGGACCAAUUUAUAAUAUAGUAUAAGUUUCAGGUCUGUUUGUGGAAUUAUAUAUUACUAUUGUUAUUUGUUAUAAAAAUAUUAUUUAAUAUAAAACUAUUAUGUACGGUCUUCGUCUGUAGGUUCUCGACGUCUACGCAACUCAUCAUCGGAUAAUUUUACAUCUAUCUAUCUAUUUUGUAUCAAUCAAUUUAACAUAAAUAAAGCAAUCAUCUUCAUCUGAUUAUCACUGUUGAAACGAUUCAUGCUGCUGAAAUCGGAUAUCGCACGCCUUGAAUUAUCGGUUAUAAAAUUUCGAUUAUUUGUUUAAUUAUUUCAUAUUCAUUCUUGAUUCCAUUCAUUCUUUUUUUUCGUCUUCUCGCGUUCUUCUUAUUAUCAGUUAUUAUCUCACCAUCAGUGACCAGAUUGAGUUGAGAGGACGCUGGAGUUGGCGUGGGAUAGAGGAGAUUGAGAAAAGAGGGAAGAAGUGCUUAGGGUUCCUUGUAGUAACUGUCACUUGGGGGCAGUUAGUGCGAGAGUAAUUAGAGAAAUAUUAGUUUUCAUUAAUUCAAAGUGUUAAUUACAACUUAGUUUUAUAAUAACUUUGAAUUACAUUGAAAUAAAAUGUAUAGACAACACGUUAGUAAGCUUCUUGAAGUAGUUUUAAGAAGACCAUUAAAGACAUCAGUCUCUCUUUUAAUUCAAAAAACCAACAUCCUGAGACAGCGUAUCUAGUUACUGUAUAAUUAGAUUACAUAGUUAAUGAGAGAAAUUCAAUUCACUUUUUGCUCUUUUUUUUUACUUCUGUUUCUAUUUCUAUACUCUGUAAAUUGAACAUUAACCUUAUUUUUUUAAUGAAAUUUAAUUGAUUUAAAAAAAAACUUUGAAUUACAUUUCAACUAAUUAUCAACUACUGCGGCCCAUUGCUUACAACCCAUCUGAAUUGGCCCAAUAGCUAAAUUCGUUUUAUUGAAACUAUUGCAAAUGAGAUCUUGGAUUUCUUUGUUAUGCAUUGCCUGAGUCAUGGUCAAUUUACCUGCAUAAGAAAAACUUCACACGAAAUUGUUAAACAGCUAUAUAACUAUUAUUAAUUUCAUUUAGGUUCUAAGUUCAGUUUAACAGAUAAUUAUCUCUGUUUUAAUUCCUUUACUUCUCUGGUUCUUCCCAAAAUUUGGGGGAAAUUUGAUUUGGUUUAGGAUUUAGGGUUUAUAAUAAAACAGACAAGCAGGUAUAGUUAACUGUGUUUGAUAAUGAAAAUUAGAGGAAUUCUUAAAGAAGUUUUUGAAAGGAAAAAUGUUAAGAUCAUAAAUAAAAAAACAGAAUCAAGUUAAUAAGAUUAUUCUUCUAAACAAUUUUGAAUGUUUUUUCUAUUAAAUUUUUUACAAGGUUUUUUGUGUAAAAUUUUAAUUUUCAGAAUAUAUGUUGGAAUUUUUUUAAUCUCGUUUGUUUUUGUUUUUAACAAAGGGUAAAAAUUGCACUUAUACCAUAAAAAUUCCAUUAAAUCCUCUUUGAUUAAUCAAAUUAACUAACCGUAAUUUGCCAUAAUUAGAUUUGUAUAUCGGCUUACAUAUCUGAAUCUGAAUAAUCUGAAUUCGUCUGAAUAAUAUAUGGAUAAAAAAAUUCGAAUUCGAAUUCGGAUAACUUUUUUAUAAAAGGCUUUUAAAACCGAAUAAAAAUAUAAAUCACCCUUAAUUAAUCACAUUAAAAUCUAAAAUAAUAAUAUAAAUUAAUUAAGUUUGUAAAUCCAAAAUUAUUUUGUUCACCCAAAUCCAAUUAUUUCCUGCUAACUUGACUUUUUGGAUUUAACCAAGAAAAUUCUAAUCUGCCAACUUGGCUUGGUCAAUUAAGAUGGUUGUAAGUUACAAUCAAUAUUGAAAAUCAAAUAAGAUGGCUGUAAAUCAUAAUCUCAGUUUUUUUUUGUAGUGAGGUUGGAUACUUGGAUGGGUUAUAUAUAACAUGACAAUAGCAAUUCCGAUCACCCAAAUUCAGUGAACAAUUGAUACAAGAGUCAUGGCAACGGAGCUGAGAAUCGAUGUUCCGGGUAUGACCAAUUGGGUCAGUCUACUGCGGCCAAACCCAGAUGUAAACAUGUGUAGAAUUCCUACCGAGCUGGUUGAAGCUAAUGACAACGGUGAUCGGGAUUACGCACCCAAAUACAUUUCCAUCGGACCAUACCACUACGGGAAAGAAGAGCUUCGUUCGAUGCAAAAGGUCAAGUUGCAAUACCUCAAAGAUCUGCUCGCUCGGAACCAGAGUAACACCAUAGAAAGGUACAUGGAUGUAGUCAAAGAAGUGUAUUUAUCUUCUGAAAAAAAUAAGUAUUGUGAUUUCGAUGCUUGUGGAAUCUCCGAUGAUCUCUUUCUGGAUAUGUUGGUGCUCGACGGUUGUUUUCUUGUGGAGUUAUUGUUGAAACAUAAUGAUGGGUCGCUGACUUUUCCUGGAAUUGAUAUCCAUAAGCUCAAUCAUGAUUUGAUGCUUAUCGAAAAUCAAAUACCUUUUUCUGUUCUCAAACUCAUAUAUCAAAAUACAGAUUUGGUGGAACAAGACCAAAGGUUCAGUCUCUUCGAUCUGGCAAUUAAUUACCUGCACAAUGGAGAGAAGAGUAUUGACGGUGUAUAUAAAGAAGUCGGUAAUGUGGACCAUCUUCUCCAUUUGCUCUACAUGUGUCGGUUGAAUCGGGUUCAGUUAAAAAAUGCUCCUUUACGAAUGAAGCCAUGGUUGUAUCGUUUGCUAUACAUCUUGAUAGCGACAUUGUUUCUUGUCAUCUUUUUCACCAACAGAUAUUAUAGGGAAAUGCCCAAACACGAUCUCUGGAAAAAAAUAUUGUUACUAUCAACACCUUCCUUGAUAAUAAUAAUAAUACUCAGGGAAAGUGGUAUGAUGUACUAUCUAUGGGAAGGGAUUUCUUUUUUGUUUGUCGGAAUUUGUUAUCUUGUUAUCAUUUGGGUGGAAGCAGGAACUAAGUACACAGCAAAAUCUGUAAAAACG
rnacentral:lncRNA from 1 species